rnacentral:rRNA from 1 species
UACGUAGGGGGCUAGCGUUGUCCGGAAUCAUUGGGCGUAAAGAGCGUGUAGGCGGCCUGACAGGUCAGCUGUGAAAACUCGAGGCUCAACCUCGAGACGUCGGUUGAAACCAUCUGGCUAGAGCCCGGAAGAGGAGUGUGGAAUUCCCGGUGUAGCGGUGAAAUGCGCAGAUAUCGGGAAGAACACCCGUGGCGAAGGCGGCACUCUGGGACGGUACUGACGCUGAGACGCGAAAGCGUGGGGAGCGAACAGG